rnacentral:rRNA from 1 species
UAAAUAGGAUUCCCUCAGUAAUGGCGAAUGAACAGGGAUCAGCUCAGCAUGGAAAUUGGGGCCUCUGGCCUUGAAUUGUAGUCUUGAGAUGGCAUCGCCAGCGGAGGCGCAGAUGUAAGCCUCUUGGAAAAGAGCAUCAAUGAGGGUGAGAGUCCCGUUUGUCAUCUGCAGUCCCCCGUGCACGGCUUGCUUUCUAAGAGUCACGUUCCUUGGGAUUGGAGCGCAAAUUGGGUGGUAAAUUUCAUCUAAAGCUAAAUAUUGGUUCGAGACCGAUAGCAAACAAGUACCAUGAGGGAAAGGUGAAAAGGACUUUGAAAAGAGAGUUAAAAGUGCCUGAAAUUGCUGAAAGGGAAGCGAAUGGAACCAGUUUUUCUUGGCGAGAUUGUUGCGUGCUAAUGUGAUGGCUUGUUGCUUCAACGCAAGUGUUGCAGCGGGUUUUGAUCUGGACGUGCGCGGUGCUUCUUGCCUUGGGUGUCAACGUCGGUUCAGACUUGAGGAAAACUCCAGGGACAUGGUAAGUCACUUCUGGGUGACUGAAAGUGCUUGGCAGAACUCAUUUCUGAACUGAAUUCCGCAUGUCUGGUCGCAGUGCUUUCACUUCCCGUGCUUCGUUCGGAGCUCUCUGGGCUCUGCGCUGGGCUGGGACGUGGGGCAUCUCCCUGACAUCAGUACGAUGACAAAAUGGUUUUAUUCGACCCGUCUUGAAACACGGACCAAGGAGUCUAACAUAUGUGCAAGUUCACGGGUGUUAAACCUGCUUGCGCAAUGAAAGUGACUGCUGGGAUAUUUGCACCAGCAACCGACCAAUCAAUUGUGAGAGGUUUGAGUAUGAGCAUAUCUGUUAGGACCCGAAAGAUGGUGAACUAUGCCUGAGAAGGGCGAAGUCAGGGGAAACUCUGAUGGAGGCUCGUAGCGAUACUGACGUGCAAAUCGUUCGUCAUACUUGGGUAUAGGGGCGAAAGACUAUACCCAACCAUCUAGUAGCUGGUUCUCUUCCGAAAA